UACGAAGGGGGCGAGCGUUGUUCGGAUUUACUGGGCGUAAAGGGCGCGCAGGCGGCUCAUUUUGUCAGGCGUGAAAGCCCCGGGCUUAACCUGGGAACUGCGUUUGAUACGGAUGGGCUAGAGUUCGGGAGAGGAGAGUGGAAUUCCCAGUGUAGAGGUGAAAUUCGUAGAUAUUGGGAAGAACACCAGUGGCGAAGGCGACUCGCUGGACAGACAUUGACGCUGAGGUGCGAAAGCGUGGGGAGCAAACAGG
rnacentral:rRNA from 1 species